rnacentral:rRNA from 1 species
GACAGAGGGUGCGAACGUUGUUCGGAAUUACUGGGCGUAAAGCGCGUGUAGGCUGACCGGAGAGUCGGGCGUGAAAUCCCUGAGCUCAACUCAGGAACUGCACUCGAAACUCUCGGUCUAGAGUGGUGGAGAGGGAAGUGGAAUUCCUGGUGUAGAGGUGAAAUUCGUAGAUAUCAGGAGGAACACCAGUGGCGAAGGCGGCUUCCUGGACACCAACUGACGCUGAGACGCGAAAGCGUGGGGAGCAAACAGG